GUAUGUCGAUAAUGUCGAUUUGGGAGCAUCCAAAUCCCACAGCCAACCCCACAAGCCCAGCAGAGGGGAAGCUUACACUGACUCCUUCCCCUUUUCCUCCAGUGCUAUAUCCUAGGAGGGCCUAUAGGUCCCUGAUUUCUUCCCUUUCGCCCCUCGUGGUAUGUUCCAGGAGGAGCCUGCAAGCAGUCCGACUUCUCAUCCCCUGUUAUCUGCCAGGAGAUAAUAGCCAUUGGCAUCUCCGUGUCUUUCCAGAGGCCUCUCAGCUUCUCUGAACAUCAUUACACAGAUCCAUAGAGUUCAGAGCCAAAGACCCUUUCUCCAAGAAGCCCGCCAGAGAAACGCCCCCAUUCUUGCUCCCCACCACCUGUGAGGCAGGGCCACCGCUCCGCAACGUGAGUAGAGGCUUCCUCAUCCUCUGUACGGAAUGGACACUCCUCCAACAUGGCGUACCCCACGGGGAAUCGCACCUCUGGCGCGGCCACGUUCCCCGCCUGACCACGCUGCCGAUGGGCACUGAAUGCCCCAAAACUUCGACUCCGUAACAUGGCGAUGUUGACUGUUGGUUGACUGCGGCUUCGAACGCGGUUUUGCGCCUGUGCAGAGCCACGCCCCUUCGUGUGUGAACCUCCCACCCAAACCCCGAGAAGGGGCGGUGCUAGGGGUGGUGACCGGAAGCGCCUGCAGUUUUCGGCCGCGAUUUGAUAGUUGUUGUGAAGAGGAUCCCGGUGCUCUGUGUCCUAGCGGUGUGAAGAGAAAGGAGAGAUUAAGUCUCCACUGUGAUAAUGAUUUUAUUCAUUUCUUCUUCCGCUGUUCAUGACCCAAUUUGAGUUGUUUUGUAUGAAGCGGUUUCUUGGAAUCUCUGCUUAGCCCUUGGGACAGACCCUGUGGUAAAGGCUGCAAGAUCUUCCAUUUCCAGCAUCAGCAGCUGUGGUUAAGUCCACAGGUGCCCACCUGACCUCGGGUUCCUGGGAAGGGCAGAGUUGUCAGUAAGAGAACCGGGGGGUAAAGCCCAGCAGGAAGAUGCCAGGCAAUCAGAGUGCUGCUGACUACAGGGGCACGGGACAACUCCUGUGAGGUAAGGAGUAGGAAGAGGCACCCAGGGACAGAAAUUCUCCAGAAUGAAAGAUAAUAUCUCAUUAUUUUAAUUUAUAUGACUUUUUUUUUAAUCAGGCAACAUAAUCAGGGGAUUUUUAUUGCUGAUUUAUGUAUGUGAAUUUCUUUCUGUCCAUUGUUGAUUUAUUUAUAUUAACUUAAGGAUUUUUACAGAGUUUUUUUGAAGAGUAAGGUUAAUAAUCUUUUAUCAUUCUUAUAUAUUGGGUUGGCCAAAAAGUUUGUUUGGGGUUUUCUGUACGAUGUUAUGGAAAAAACCCAAAUGAACUUUUUGGUUAACCCAAUAUUUCUGUGAAUAUUUUUUUGCCACUUUGUAAUUUGAAAUUAGCUUCUAGUUUAGUUAUAAGUGACAAAAGGUGCCAAAGAGUUCUCAAAGUCUUCUUAAAACAAUGACUCUUCCCUGAUUUGUUUCUCCCAGAUUCCAGCUCCCUAGAAGCAAGCUCUCUUAAACUUUUUAAUGGAUUUCUUUUUAGUUUUGAACAUUAUCUAUUGACUUUCCACUAUGGAAGGUAGAGAUUUAGCUUUUCCAUGCACCUCCACUCAUAUACACAUUUGCCUCUACCUAUCACUGUUCUGAUUAGAUCUAUCGUGUUUAUUAUUGUGACUGUUUAUAGUUGAGUCAUGUAGUAUCCAUGCUUACGGUUUCUUCACAACUUUUACUUUACCCUGGAAUUAACUAUUUUUCAAUGGAUUGAUCAUUUCUUUGCUUUACUAUAUACAUAUCAAUAAUUCAACUCAAAAUUCUUUCUAGUUAUUUAAAUCUCCUCUCUGUAUGUUCAGACAUAGACGUUAAGGAAUCUGCCUGCAGUGUGAGACUCAGGUUCACUUCCUUGGUCAGGAAGAUUCCCUGGAGAAGGGACUAGCAACCCACUGCAGUAUUCUUGCCUUGAGAAUCCCAUGGACAGAGGAGCCUGGUGGGCUACAGUCCAUGGGGUUGCAAAGAGUCAGACACUCACAUAGUGACAUUACUUAUAAAUACUCAUACCAUGUUUACUAUGAGCCCAGCACUGUUAAACACACACUACAUCUACUAACUCAUCUUUGUUACAAUCUGGAGAAGUAGGUACCAUUGUUAUUCUCAUUUUAUAUAAGGGGAAACUGUUGUUUGUUGUUUAGUUGCUGAGUCGUAUCCAACUCUUUGAAGCUCCAUGGACUAUAGCCCCCCAGGCUCCUCUCUCCAUGAAAUUUUCCAGGCAAGAAUGCUGGAGUGGAUUGACAUUUCCUUUUCCAAGGGGAAACUGGGGCAUAGAGAAAAACUAUCUGGCCUAAGUUAACACAGCAAGUAAUAGUGGGGAGUGCUAUCUCAACUCUGGGUAUCAGUGUCUUCUCUUUGAAAAAAUCUUCCCUGGACCUUGUUGACUUGCUGAAGGCUUGUCUGGUUGCUCUCUCACGUUCAUGCACAGCUAUGAUUUUGGUGUCUACUCUUCACCAUCUAUCAGGAAAUCCUUUUUACCUCUGUCUUGUAUCAGAUUCCCUUCCCUGAGAAUCCAGUUUUUUCCUUCCUGUUUCCUAGAUCCUGUGUCUUCCUCCUUCUUGGUUUACCCCCUAAUUUGGGGGGUGGGGUACAUCCUUCAGUAUGUCCUUGAAAAUGGAUGCAUGACAAGUGAACUUUACGAAGCUUUGCAUAUCUGAAAAUGUCAUGUAAAAUGUAUUUAUGUAAUAUAUAUUUAACUGUGUAAAUACAUUUAUAGAAAUAAAAAAGUAAUAAAUACCAUGGAAAUAUGUUUAUUUGACCUGA